UGAGUGAUGAAGGUUUUCGGAUCGUAAAGCUCUGUUGUUAGGGAAGAACAAGUGCAAGAGUAACUGCUGUGCACCUUGACGGUACCUAACCAGAAAGCCACGGCUAACUACGUGCCAGCAGCCGCGGUAAUACGUAGGUGGCAAGCGUUGUCCGGAAUUAUUGGGCGUAAAGGGCUCGCAGGCGGUUUCUUAAGUCUGAUGUGAAAGCCCCCGGCUCAACCGGGGAGGGUCAUUGGAAACUGGGAAACUUGAGUGCAGAAGAGGAGAGUGGAAUUCCACGUGUAGCGGUGAAAUGCGUAGAGAUGUGGAGGAACACCAGUGGCGAAGGCGACUCUCUGGUCUGUAACUGACGCUGAGGAGCGAAAGCGUGGGGAGCGAACAGGAUUAGAUACCCUGGUAGUCCACGCCGUAAACGAUGAGUGCUAAGUGUUAGGGGGUUUCCGCCCCUUAGUGCUGCAGCUAACGCAUUAAGCAC
rnacentral:rRNA from 1 species